rnacentral:rRNA from 1 species
UCUUGCGAUUGAGACUUCAGUGUCCCCUUCGUCUAGAGGCCCAGGACACCGCCCUUUCACGGCGGUAACAGGGGUUCGAAUCCCCUAGGGGACGCCACUUGCUGGUUCGUGAGUGAAAGACGCGUGCCGAACUAUCUCAAAACUCAUCUUCGGGUGACGUUUGAGAUAUUUGCUCUUUAAAAAUCUGGAUCAAGCUGAAAAUUGAAACGACACACAGUUAAUGUGUGUUCGAGUCUCUCAAAUUUUCGCGACACGAUGAUGUUUUACGAAACAUCUUCGGGUUGUGAGGUUAAGCGACUAAGCGUACACGGUGGAUGCCCUGGCAGUCAGAGGCGAUGAAGGACGUGCUAAUCUGCGAAAAGCGUCGGUAAGGUGAUAUGAACCGUUAUANUGUGAACUCGAAGAGUAGGGCGGGACACGUGGUAUCCUGUCUGAAUAUGGGGGGACCAUCCUCCAAGGCUAAAUACUCCUGACUGACCGAUAGUGAACCAGUACCGUGAGGGAAAGGCGAAAAGAACCCCGGCGAGGGGAGUGAAAAAGAACCUGAAACCGUGUACGUACAAGCAGUGGGAGCACCUUUAUGGUGUGACUGCGUACCUUUUGUAUAAUGGGUCAGCGACUUAUAUUCUGUAGCAAGGUUAACCGUAUAGGGGAGCCGCAGGGAAACCGAGUCUUAACUGGGCGUUAAGUUGCAGGGUAUAGACCCGAAACCCGGUGAUCUAGCCAUGGGCAGGUUGAAGGUUGGGUAACACUAACUGGAGGACCGAACCGACUAAUGUUGAAAAAUUAGCGGAUGACUUGUGGCUGGGGGUGAAAGGCCAAUCAAACCGGGAGAUAGCUGGUUCUCCCCGAAAGCUAUUUAGGUAGCGCCUCGUGAACUCAUCUUCGGGGGUAGAGCACUGUUUCGGCUAGGGGGUCAUCCCGACUUACCAACCCGAUGCAAACUACGAAUACCGAAGAAUGUUAUCACGGGAGACACACGGCGGGUGCUAACGUCCGUCGUGAAGAGGGAAACAACCCAGACCGCCAGCUAAGGUCCCAAAGUCAUGGUUAAGUGGGAAACGAUGUGGGAAGGCACAGACAGCCAGGAUGUUGGCUUAGAAGCAGCCAUCAUUUAAAGAAAGCGUAAUAGCUCACUGGUCGAGUCGGCCUGCGCGGAAGAUGUAACGGGGCUAAACCAUGCACCGAAGCUGCGGCAGCGACACGAUGUGUUGUUGGGUAGGGGAGCGUUCUGUAAGCCUGCGAAGGUGACCUGUGAGGGUUGCUGGAGGUAUCAGAAGUGCGAAUGCUGACAUAAGUAACGAUAAAGCGGGUGAAAAGCCCGCUCGCCGGAAGACCAAGGGUUCCUGUCCAACGUUAAUCGGGGCAGGGUGAGUCGACCCCUAAGGCGAGGCCGAAAGGCGUAGUCGAUGGGAAACAGGUUAAUAUUCCUGUACUUGGUGUUACUGCGAAGGGGGGACGGAGAAGGCUAUGUUAGCCGGGCGACGGUUGUCCCGGUUUAAGCAUGUAGGCUGGUUAUCCAGGCAAAUCCGGAUAAUCAAGGCUGAGGUGUGAUGACGAAGCACUACGGUGCUGAAGUAACAAAUGCCCUGCUUCCAGGAAAAGCCUCUAAGCAUCAGGUAACAUCAAAUCGUACCCCAAACCGACACAGGUGGUCAGGUAGAGAAUACCAAGGCGCUUGAGAGAACUCGGGUGAAGGAACUAGGCAAAAUGGUGCCGUAACUUCGGGAGAAGGCACGCUGGUGUGUAGGUGAAGCCCCUGCGGGUGGAGCUGAGACCAGUCGAAGAUACCAGCUGGCUGCAACUGUUUAUUAAAAACACAGCACUGUGCAAACACGAAAGUGGACGUAUACGGUGUGACGCCUGCCCGGUGCCGGAAGGUUAAUUGAUGGGGUUAUCCGUAAGGAGAAGCUCUUGAUCGAAGCCCCGGUAAACGGCGGCCGUAACUAUAACGGUCCUAAGGUAGCGAAAUUCCUUGUCGGGUAAGUUCCGACCUGCACGAAUGGCGUAAUGAUGGCCAGGCUGUCUCCACCCGAGACUCAGUGAAAUUGAACUCGCUGUGAAGAUGCAGUGUACCCGCGGCAAGACGGAAAGACCCCGUGAACCUUUACUAUAGCUUGACACUGAACAUUGAGCCUUGAUGUGUAGGAUAGGUGGGAGGCUUUGAAGCGUGGACGCCAGUCUGCGUGGAGCCAACCUUGAAAUACCACCCUUUAAUGUUUGAUGUUCUAACGUUGGCCCCUAAUCGGGGUUGCGGACAGUGUCUGGUGGGUAGUUUGACUGGGGCGGUCUCCUCCCAAAGCGUAACGGAGGAGCACGAAGGUUAGCUAAUCCUGGUCGGACAUCAGGAGGUUAGUGCAAUGGCAUAAGCUAGCUUGACUGCGAGCGUGACGGCGCGAGCAGGUGCGAAAGCAGGUCAUAGUGAUCCGGUGGUUCUGAAUGGAAGGGCCAUCGCUCAACGGAUAAAAGGUACUCCGGGGAUAACAGGCUGAUACCGCCCAAGAGUUCAUAUCGACGGCGGUGUUUGGCACCUCGAUGUCGGCUCAUCACAUCCUGGGGCUGAAGUAGGUCCCAAGGGUAUGGCUGUUCGCCAUUUAAAGUGGUACGCGAGCUGGGUUUAGAACGUCGUGAGACAGUUCGGUCCCUAUCUGCCGUGGGCGCUGGAGAAUUGAGGGGGGCUGCUCCUAGUACGAGAGGACCGGAGUGGACGCAUCACUGGUGUUCGGGUUGUCAUGCCAAUGGCACUGCCCGGUAGCUAAAUGCGGAAGAGAUAAGUGCUGAAAGCAUCUAAGCACGAAACUUGCCCCGAGAUGAGUUCUCCCUGAGACU